UACGUAGGGUGCAAGCGUUAUCCGGAUUUACUGGGUGUAAAGGGCGAGUAGACGGUUUUGUAAGUCAGAUGUGAAAACUUAGAGCUCAACUUUAAGACUGCGUCUGAAACUGUAGAACUAGAGUGCAGGAGAGGUAAGCGGAAUUCCUAGUGUAGCGGUGAAAUGCGUAGAUAUUAGGAGGAACACCAGUGGCGAAGGCGGCUUACUGGACUGUAACUGACGUUGAGGCGCGAAAGUGUGGGGAGCAAACAGG
rnacentral:rRNA from 1 species